UACGUAGGGUGCGAGCGUUGUCCGGAAUUAUUGGGCGUAAAGGGCUCGUAGGCGGUUUGUCGCGUCGGGAGUGAAAACCCAGGGCUUAACCCUGGGCUGGCUUCCGAUACGGGCAGACUAGAGGUAUGCAGGGGAGAACGGAAUUCCUGGUGUAGCGGUGAAAUGCGCAGAUAUCAGGAGGAACACCGGUGGCGAAGGCGGUUCUCUGGGCAUUACCUGACGCUGAGGAGCGAAAGUGUGGGGAGGCGAACAGG
rnacentral:rRNA from 1 species